GCUUCGGUGACCUAGUGGUUAGAGCGUCCGCCUCGAAUGAGGUAGGUCCCGGGUUCAAACCCCGGCCGAGUCA